GAAAUGCGAUAAGUAAUGAGAAUUGCAGAAUUCAGUGAAUCAUCGAAUCUUUGAACGCACAUUGCGCCCCCUGGUAUUCCGGGGGGCAUGCCUGUUCGAGCGUCAUUUCACCACUCAAGCCUCGCUUGGUAUUGGGCGACGCGGUCCGCCGCGCGCCUCAAAUCGACCGGCUGGGUCUUCCGUCCCCUCAGCGUUGUGGAAACUAUUCGCUAAAGGGUGCCGCGGGAGGUCACGCCGCAAAACAACCCCAUUUCUAAGGUUGACCUCGGAUCAGGUAGGGAUACCCGCUGAACUUAAGC
rnacentral:misc_RNA from 1 species